GGUUCCAUAGUGCAGAAGUUAGCAUGUCUGCUUUACAUGCAGAAGGUCCUGAGUUCGUGCCCCAGUGGAGCCA
rfam:Pteropus alecto contig74199, whole genome shotgun sequence.